UUCCAAGGAUGAACAAGGUUUUACAAAUAAUCAGUUCUGCUUCUGAAUAAAUCUUGAAGAAACUGUUACCAAGCUUACCAAUUGUCUGAUCU
rnacentral:snoRNA from 1 species